ACUUCUGUUUUUGAGUCAAGUGAACUUUCAACUCAAAAGUUUUCAUUACUUUUGUUGAGAUAACACAAAUAUCUGUGUUUUUGCUCUGAAAUUCUAAUCCACAGUUGGCACAACUGAGUUAUUCUUGUCAUCUCAAAUUUAAGUUGAAGUUCACCCUCUGGUUCAACACGUUACGUCAUCUUGCACACGCGCAGACCACGCUAACUUAGUCAACGUCAACCGUCAACCGUCUCUUCAUUGAAGGACCAAGCGGAUGAGAAGAGAGCCGACUCCAAAUGAGGAGAGUGAAGCUGUCAAGGGAAUGCACGUGGGAAUCCUCAUCCUUACAGAGAAUGCACAGCGCCCUGUCCCCAAGGAGGUGAUCGAUGUUGCACUUGCACUGGAGGAGGAUGUCAUUCUCCGAAACCUGAAAGAUGUGCCUCACGCGUUUUCGUUGCUGAUGGGUUUGCUUUAUGGUCUCAACAUCCACUACCCAAAAGGACUCAGAUACAUGUUCGAGAUCAUACAAAAGGUGGUAAUGAAGAUUGGCGCAGAGUCUUGCUCCUCAAGAGUUAAUGGUGUCCGGAACAGGCUCAUGUCCACACACUUGUGAUUGCACACGCAUCUUUGAGUGGAGUUGUAUGUUCUCAGUUGUAUGCCGUUUUCUCUCCUUUAAGUGGUUUAGUUGCUUAUACUUUUAAGUUUGAAAGGUGAGGGUAGCAACUCUGUUCAAAUGACUGGAAUUUUCUAUGUUGGUUUUUCUGGCCCUUGUAGAUGUGUAUUUUGUACAUAAACUGGAUGUGUAUGGUAGUUUGGGUAAGUGAACCAAAAGAUAUACUGACAUCACUCACACUGGUUGGCAGACGUUGACAGACGUGAACACAGCAGCAGUAAUAGUGAGGCUUACGUUUUUGUUUUCUUUUAAUGUCUCAGAUAGAUGUGACUACCAACUUAUGCUUAAUUGCGACUGACUUAAACAUGUUGGCUUACACACACACACACACACACACACACACACACACACACACACACACACUACACUAGACUAGAGACACUCAGACACACUCACAGAUGGACUGACGGCCAGACACUCAGAUAGAUGUAGAGAGACAGGCGAACUCUGAUCAGUCAUGCACAAACAGUAACAGUGACUUGUGUUAAAUGUUUUGUCAUACCCCAAGUGAUGAUGCACUGGUCAACUUUUUGAGCAAUGUUGCCUGGCAACAUGAUUGUCCACUGCUGAUUCAAGUUCUCCUUAUCAAGGUCCUGUAUUGAUAAACCGCCCAAAUAACAUUUUGCAGUAUUGUUUCUCAAAAGCAUUGCUCAAAAAGUCAUCACCUUUACCCACUAAUGCCAAAGAUACUUUUGUGUUUGAGAGAUGAGGGUCGCAACUGGUUCAAAUGGCUUUGGAGGUUGCCAUGUUGUUUUGAUCACCUUUUGUAGAUAUACUGUACAUGCACCUAAUCUUUUGAUUGGUCGGCAAACGCUGAUGCAGACGUGGCUUAAGAAAUUACUGUUUUAUUGCCUCUUGUAGACAUGUAUAGUACUGUACAUGCGCUAUAUUUAAGAAUUGCUAGUGUAUCUUCAGCACCUUUAUGGUAUAUUGUUUUCAGAAAAUAUGUUUUAUUUUUGCCACUGUUUGUCCUACACAACCAAGUGUCUUGUACAGUGAAAGUUUACAGUAAGUGUGAAAUAAAUGUUGGUUGUUAUUCAUCUCA